GUGGUUUCAUUUAAGGCUCUGUACCAGCAGCACCUUAUAUGAGUGCUCGGCACACAGUAGGCACUUAAUAAGUACCUGUUGCUUUUGUUUUGAGAAUGCGGUCCUCUCCCGAGGUAACUCUUACAUUCUGUUAUGAAACCAAGGGAUGAGAGUCACAGACUCAUGACCUCACUAAAAAAUGAUAUUCUUCUUGUGAAAAGGACUGCACUAAGACCAAAGUGACAAAAACAAACAAUGAAAGUGAAACAAACAACCAAAAAACCCCCAAACACCAAAACCUGAUGAGCGGUAUUCAAGGAUCUCCUACAUUCAGUAUUUUUUUGGUAUGUGCCUUAGUAAAAGCCCCCUUUCUCUACAUUCUAAUCAGUUGAUUCUUCCUUAACUGUCUGGUAAGAGCUCACAUUCCCAGAGCUGUCUGAACCUAUGUUCUAAGUAAGGGUGAGCUGGCAGGGCUUCCUCCAUGUUGGUGGGAGGGCAGUGAUUAGAGUUAACAUCUUCCUACCAUUUUGCCCUUUUUAUACAACCUUUGUUUGACUGGAAAUAGAGCAGCAUCUGCUCUCUGGGAAUUAAGCUUUCACAUUUCCAAGUUUUGCAUCGAGAUCUGCAUUAGACAUCCUUCUACUAUGGCAGCAUCCAAUGGAGCAACAAUCACCUUGACUCUGGGGUGUCAUCUUUUUAUCCUGUCUAUUUCACAAAUCUGUGACAAGAUCGUCCAUUUUGAUGGAAAGAGGGAGAGAGGAAGGCACCAGCAGCAGGUUAUGAGAGAAGCAACUUCUACUUCCAGUGGGACAGAAAAGGAGGGAAGACACAGGAGGAGCAGAAGAAAGAACACUUACUUCACCAAAUACCUAUUUUGUUUUUCCCUUUCCUUAUUCGAUUUUUAAAACAAAAAUCUCACAGUGUAAAAUGUGUCAUCUGUAAACACUAUGACAAUUCCUGUGGGGUGUGAGGCUGUAUUUCUUAUUGCUGAGUUUAGCUUGUCUUCCAGUUAAUCAUCUUCCCAUGAGCACACAUUUAUGUCACAUCAGCAUUUCAUAUUUGGGGGCUUACUGCUGUGACUACAGGCACCCAUGCAGGAAUACUAGCAAUAUGAGAUUAAACACCUGAUUAUUUUACGGACUCUCCUUAGGUAAGCAUAGAUUUGGUACAGUUACAGAACCCCAUAUUACCAACCCCAUGC
rnacentral:lncRNA from 1 species